UUUUCUCUUAAGUACAUCUUCUGAUUGACUUGCAUUUACCCCUUAUAAAGGAAAAGAGAAAAAACAUUACUUCCAAGACCACACUCCCUUUCAAGCUACUAUCGCUUCUGUUCCUAUGAAAGUUCUUAAAAGAUUAGCCUGUUUCUGUCAUCUUUCCUCUUCAUUUACUAUUCUGUUCUCUUUAUUGUAAAAUCAUUUUCUGCUCCCCCAUUCGUUGAAACCAUUCUACGAAAGUGCACGUUUCUAUGUGCUGAGUAUGGUUGUCGUAGUUGUAGACCAUCAGCAUCUGAGCACACUUUUUCCUAAGGGUGAAUUCUUGAGUUUCUACAUCUGGGCAGAAGGUAGGGUUCAUGUGCAAGGUUGAAGAGAUGCAGCUUAGCUUGGCAGUAAGAUAGUUCCACCCAAGGAUAGAGGAGAAGUUAUUAACAAAUAGGCAGCAGCAGCAACAGAGCAUGGAAGAGAGGUGAUGGCCCUGUCUACCCAGUCCGUGGGGUCCCAAACUAAACUCUUUCUCUGCAACAUUUUUCUGUUGAUUCAUCUCUUUUGAGUACUUCCUACUUUCUGAGACUGGUUUUCUAAGUUUUCCAUAAUUUUUGAGCUAAUGCCUUUUUCAUAAAUGUCUUUCAUCCCUUAAUUUAAACAUGUUUGGUUUAUAUUCCUUUGAGUUAAAAGACCUCACUGGUAAAGAAAAUGCUACUUGGGAAUGGGUUUAUGUAAUGGAGCCUUAGAAAAAGUGGGAUGAAGAGUGAGGAUGUGGGACUUAUUAGUGGGCUGGGACUGAAAACAAUGCCUCCCAUUCAUCUUCUGGGAGGUUGCCAGAGAUCAGAGGCUGCCCAUUGCACGCCAUGGUGAAGAGCUAAUUAAAUACAGCCUCUGAUCUCUGGAAUGAAAGAUCUCCCUUGGGAUGAAAUGUCUAUUCAAGGUAAGACUUUGGGGGAACCACAUUGCCACUGAUAUUAAACACAUCAAAUAAAAGACUGUAAGAAUAUUGUGAAUGUUGCGAGAGCAUUGAAUAGCUAAAAAAAAAGCAAAUGAUACAUUUCUCCCCUUAAAUUCUUGAUUAUGGCAAAGACUGGAUCUCAGGAACUCUAACAGUGCUCAAAGAGUCUCUCCAUUCUUCAGCUUCUUUUAACUUCCACGUACUUGACAAUGAAACUCAGGAUGUGAUAUGGUUGCUGAAUUACAAUAAAAAUUAACUUUAUAAUCCUGCUGGUCUUUUUAAGUGAAAGCAAAAGCACCUGGAAAAACUGUUGGUUCCUAAGCAUCAGAAUUGGACCACGUGAGUUGAUUCUAGAGAAUCCCUAGCCUUUCUUUCUCUGUAGUGGUAGGUGGGAGCUGGCUAAUUAUGGCUUACAAGGGCUGAGUGUAUUUACCUCAUCUUUGUUCAGUGAUGUCACCUGGACAACUUGAUGUCAACCAUGGUGUAUUUUAAAUGCUAUAAAUCAGGAUAACAUCCUCCCUGUUGCUGGGGAGUGGGUUGUUAGACAUUUCCCAGCACAUCACUGUUCUUGGGAUUUCAGACAUACAUUUUCCAUAUUUAAUGGGGCUGUCUCUUCUUGCUUGGAGACUUUCUUUUUCUCUGGAGCUAACUUUGCCAGGGAGAGCCAAUGCAUAGCAAGAAACCUGCAGACCUCCCAUUAUUUCUGGACUUCUAACUGAUGUGUCCCAAAGGAGUGAAUUGCAUUUCAAAACCUGGGUGGAAAAGUUGUUUCCUUUAAAAAUUUUUUUUCCUUUUAUUUUUGACAAAACUUGGGACUAUAUGCAAGAACAAUAAUGACUAAUAAGAGUGAUUGACCUUGAAACAGUUUUUCAAAGAAAUGAUUGGCUCAAUCUGAACUGGCAGGUAUGUGUCUGAUUCUUGGUCAUUUGCUUGACUAUAAUCUCAAUUCAGUGGAGGCUUAGGACAGUGAAGUUGAGAUUCUGAAGUUGAAAUGCCUUAAAUAAUACAGAGAAGUAUGGCAUGUAUUCUGGGGUAAAAUUAUCAUAUACAAAUCACCAUCACCCUAAUUUGCCCCCCAAGAGGGUAUAUAGUUCAUUGUCAAGUUCUUAAGAAAUGUGUUGCUGAGGGGAGUGGCAGCAGUUUUGAAAAGAGUUUGUGCCACUGUUCUUUCCUGACUGAGCAUGUGGAUGGCAGAUGCUUCGGUUGAAAUGGUUUCCCUGAUUGAAAUGAGGAGGAAACUCUUGCAGGGCAGCUGAGGCCAUGUGGCAGCAUUCAAAGGUAAAAUUGUUAUGGUUGCCAUAAUAGGCAGCAGAGCAAGCGCAUUGGUUAGAAUGUUCUGAAUUAUAGGAAUCUUUGGCGAAUCACAGGGUUCCUUGGUUGAAAUAGGUGGUAGGACAUUAGUCCUUUUUGAUUUGCAUUGUAGAAAACACUCCCCAGGUGGGAAGCUUAGGUCUGAAACUGGCUACCAUUAAGGGAGUAGCUCAUUUUCACCUAAUUCUCAGAUUUGAGUUAGUAAAUCAGGAAUUUACUUGAUGAUGAACUCUUGUUAUACUAUCAACUGUAUGUGCAAUAAAUCUCCUUCCUAGCCUUCACCAAAGGCUCUGUGACCAUUUACCAUGAAUUGCAGAUAAAGAGCUCUAAAUCUGGUUAGCCUAGUCUUUGCUCUGGGUUUAUUCAAAAUGCCUGGGGAAACACUGUCUUUUUGGGGAAAGAAUUCCAAGGUACUAUUGCUUUUUUAUACCAAUGAUCUGGCAAGCAUUAAGGAUAGCAAUAUUACACUCAAAAGGUAAUGUGCUUUUAGGGGUCAACAUUCAUAUAAACAUUUCAGGUACCAAAUAUUAUUGUUUUGACUUUGUGACAAAAAUAGACUGCUUGCAUUUCAGGUCAUGCUGAUACAAACACAUCCUGGAAUCUGGCUACACAGACAUUUCAUGCUCAGUAUUAUCUACAUGUGAAUAGAAUACAAAGGAGCUGUAAAAUUCCAUGUUGUAAAAAUAUAUGUGCUAAACAUGCCCUGGGAAAGGGUAAAAAAACAGGGCUUUGGGAUAUUGUUAAACACUGAUGCUGAGCUACCUAAUUCCUGGUGACUGAGAAAACCACCGAGAUCUACAGAUAGAACAGCAAACUGUACUUCAGGUUAUAAAUUGAAUUUUGAUCUGAGCCUGCCUCUAGGUGGUCCAGUCUUGUGGUUAUUUUUCUGAAUACAUGAUUGGAAUAGGUCUUUCAAGCAAUUGGCAGGGACCCCCAAUAACUCCUUGCAUCAUAAACAGGGCUAUUGUGAUUGGAAAUGCUAAGCUUCUGGAGUUUCCCCUACCUACCAAAGUAUUAAAAUCCAAUGUGAUAUUGCAUCUAGAGAUGAAUCACAAAAAUGAAAGACAUCAUCGAAAGCAUGAAAGAUACUGGAUUGAUGAUUCUUUUCAGGUCUCUAUUCAGAUCUAUCUAGAAGAGGUACAGGCUUGAAACACAGAAAUUCGUUGAGUGAUUAUAAAUUAUACCCAGUUGUCCAUUUAAUACAUAUUUAUUUGGUACAAACCAAGAUUCAUGCUCUAUGUUAGAUAUCAGGGGAACAGUUAUGAGCCAGUCCUGACAUGUCUUUGUUUUUGUGGCAUAGAUAUUUUGGUGGGGGAGCCUGGUAUUGCUCAAUAUAAUUCUAGGAGCUUGUUUUACAGGGGAACCCUGUGUUGUCCUAGUGUUUGUGUCUGCAUGUGUGUAGAGGGCCUUUGGAGGAGAGAGCAGGGAAGGUGGAGAAAGUCCUCCUUCUACAAGUGAUGCCAAGAUGAGCUUGGAGGUGGAGGUGGGUAUUAGCUAGGCAAAAGGGAGGGCAGAACACCCUAGACAGUAGGAGAGAAAAGUGUGCUUGAGGCAUAGGAUGAAGGACAGUAUACCUGGAGUGAUGAGUGUGAUGGGCAACAUGGCCAGAGAGGAGAUUAAAGUAAUAGACAGGGAGUUAAACUUGCAGGAUUUGCUCCAAUGCGACUCUCCAUGAAGUCAAGUGCAUGGUUAUAAGAAGGUAAGAUGUCAUGAUCAGAUAUUUAGAAGACUUCUCUGACUGCAAUAGGUUUGGAACAGAAAGUGCCAAGAUAUGUCAUCAGCUGUUGCAACAAUCCAAGCGAGAGUUUGUCAUAUGGUCAUAGAAGAUGGAUUCUUCUAUGGGAAAUGGAUUCAUGAGAUAUCUAGGAAGUACAGUUAAUGUGACUGGUGGUGAACUGCUGAUGAUGGAUUGAAUAUGGGACAUGGAACAGUGGAAACUGUAAAGUAAUACUCAUAUUUCUUGCUGGUAUGACAGAAGAUAACUAUUUCUAUGUGUAUAUAUAAUCUAACUGGCUGGACUAGGUCUGAUUUGGGGCUCAUUUGCUUUGCUGUAAUCUGGAUUCAUUGGAAGAUGUCUAUCUAUCAAUCACUAAAUAAGAAUAAAAGUGGUGCAAUGAUGAGAUGUUCAUUCAUGGAGCUAUAGAGAUUGAGAGGCAUCACAUAGUUAUGUGAAGAUAUUGAGUGAGAAAUUAGACAAAAGUUUGAGGGAUGAGAACCGGUUUGAUAAUGAAAUAAACCAUAAAUAUGGUGGUCAUUGGGCCAUGGAUGAUAAGUGAGGCAAGCAAUGAGAAGGAAUGCAGAGGGAGAAGAGAAGAGCCCGAGAGACUAUGCCCCAAAGGACUCUAGUAGGUAGGGUGCAGGUCCCCUGAGAUACAGUCAGUAUCAGCGUGAUGCACCCAGCAAGAACUCAUAAUGGCUUAUGGACUUUAAAAAUAAACUGAUAGGAGUUCCUGUCUGGUGCAGUGGAAAUGAAUCUGAGUAGGAACCAUGAGGUUUUGGGUUCAAUCCUGGCCUCGCUAAGUGGGUUAAGGAUCCGGCGUUGUCAUGAGCCGUGCUGUAGGUCGUAGACAUGGCUCUGAUCUGGUGUUGCUGUGGCUCUGUCUGAUUAGACCCCUAGCCUGGGAACCUCCAUAUGCUGUGGGUGUGGCCCUAAAAUAGACAAAAGACAA
rnacentral:lncRNA from 1 species